ACGAACGCUGGCGGCAGGCCUAACACAUGCAAGUCGAGCGAGGACUUCGGUCCUAGCGGCGGACGGGUGAGUAACGCGUGGGAACGUGCCCUUUGCUUCGGAAUAGCCCUGGGAAACUGGGAGUAAUACCGGAUGAGCCCUUUGGGGGAAAGAUUUAUCGGCGAAGGAUCGGCCCGCGUUGGAUUAGGUAGUUGGUGGGGUAAUGGCCUACCAAGCCGACGAUCCAUAGCUGGUUUGAGAGGAUGAUCAGCCACACUGGGACUGAGACACGGCCCAGACUUCCUCGGGAGGGAGGAAGGGGGGAUCCUAGGCAAUGGGGGAAACCCUGAUCUAGCCAUGCCGCGUGAGCGAUGAAGGCCUUAGGGUUGUAAAGCUCUUUCAGCUGGGAAGAUAAUGACGGUACCAGCAGAAGAAGCCCCGGCUAACUCCGUG
rnacentral:rRNA from 1 species